rnacentral:rRNA from 1 species
AACGAACGCUGGCGGCAGGCUUAACACAUGCAAGUCGAACGCCCCGCAAGGGGAGUGGCAGACGGGUGAGUAACGCGUGGGAAUCUACCCAGUUCUACGGAACAACUGAGGGAAACUUCAGCUAAUACCGUAUACGCCCUACGGGGGAAAGAUUUAUCGGAAUUGGAUGAGCCCGCGUUAGAUUAGCUAGUUGGUGGGGUAAUGGCCUACCAAGGCGACGAUCUAUAGCUGGUCUGAGAGGAUGAUCAGCCACACUGGGACUGAGACACGGCCCAGACUCCUACGGGAGGCAGCAGUGGGGAAUAUUGGACAAUGGGCGCAAGCCUGAUCCAGCCAUGCCGCGUGAGUGAUGAAGGCCUUAGGGUUGUAAAGCUCUUUCAGUGGGGACGAUAAUGACGGUACCCACAGAAGAAGCCCCGGCUAACUUCGUGCCAGCCGCUGCAGUAAGAC